rnacentral:rRNA from 1 species
UUCGCAAUGCCCGAAAGGGUGACGAAGCGACGCCGCGUGUGGGAAGAAGGCCUUCGGGUUGUAAACCACUGUCGGGAGUUAAGAAAUGCAAGGAUAUAAAUAGUGUCUUUGCUUGACUAAGGCUCCGGAGGAAGCCACGGCUAACUCUGUGCCAGCAGCCGCGGUAAUACAGAGGCGGCAAGCGUUGUUCGGAAUUAUUGGGCGUAAAGAGCACGUAGGCGGCUAUGUAAGUCGGUUGUGGAAGCCUUCCGCUCAACGGGAGAACAGCAUCCGAUACUACAUGGCUUGAGUGCGGGAGGGGAGAGUGGAACUUCGGGUGGAGCGGUGAAAUGCGUAGAUAUCAGAAGGAACGCCGGCGGCGAAAGCGGCUCUCUGGCCCAUAACUGACGCUGAGUGUGCGAAAGCUAGGGGAGCAAACGGGAUUAGAUACCCCGGUAGUCCUAGCCGUAAACGAUGGGCACUAAGUAGAGGGGUUUUA